rnacentral:rRNA from 1 species
ACUGAAUAGAUACCCUGGUAGUCCACGCCCUAAACGAUCACAACUAGUUUUGGGGAGUAUCGACCCUCUCCGAGACGAAAGCUAAACGCGAUAAGUUGUGCGCCUGGGUAGUACGAUCGCAAGAUUAAAACUCAAAGGAAUAGACGGGGACUUGCACAAGCGGUGGAUCAUGCGGCUCAAUUCGAUGACAAACGAAGAACCUCACCAGGGUUUGAAACCCAGACGAAAUCCUUAGGAAACUUUGGACCUCGCAAGACGGCUGGGCAGGUGAUGCAUGGUCGUCGUCAGUUCGUGGCUUGAGUUGUUCCCUUCAGUGGGGUAACGAACGCAACCCGCGUUGCCUGUUUUAUAUGUCAGGCGAGACUGCCCCCUCACGGGGGAGGAAGGUGCGGAUGACGCCAGAUCAGCAUGUCCCUCUGAUAUCCU